rnacentral:rRNA from 1 species
UUUUAAUUGGAAACUCGUAUGAAGGGUUGGACAAAGGAUAAUCUGUUUUUAUUUUUAUUUUUGAAUUUAUCUUUUAAGUGAAAAGACUUGAAUAUAUUUAAGGGACGAUAAGACCCUAUAAAUCUUUAUAUUUAACUUAAUGUUUAUAUUGAUUUUUAAUGUAAAUAUAAAAUAAAGAUUAACAAUAUUAUGUUGGGGCGACAAGAAUAAAAAAUAAACUGUUCUAAAAAUAAACAAAGUUAUUUGAUUAGUAGUAGAUCCUUUUUAAAGAUAUAAGUUUAAGUUACUUUAGGGAUAACAGCGUUAUUUCUUUUGAGAGUUCAAAUCGAAAAAGAAGUUUGCGACCUCGAUGUUGAAUUAAAAUUUCUUUAUAGUGCAGCAGUUAUACAAGAAAGUCUGUUCGACUUUUAAAAUUUUACGUGAUCU